rnacentral:lncRNA from 1 species
CUGGGAGCCAGAGAGCCGACGCUCUGGGCCGGUCAGGAUCUCGGUGGCUCACGCGGCUUUCCAGAGCGGGGCACGGGCUGCCGCGGGGCUUCUGCGGCUUCUCGCCCACGGUUUGCGUCCACACUCCGCUCCGGCUCGGGGGGGGGAAACAACAAGGUUUCCCCGGGACAGCGGUUCGGAGCUGGGGGUACCGUGGAGGAGGCGCCAUGAGGCCCAGCCCAGAGGGGCCUACUCGCCUCCCCAGGCCCCGCCCCGCGCAAAGCACGCUGGGAGCCGCGGGCUGCAGGAGCCUGCAGUCCUGCGGGGUGGAGGUCCUGGUUCUUACUGGCUGCUUUGUCCCAGCUUUGGUUCUUUUGGGGUAUCGACAACCCCAGGACCUCAACGCGCGCACCCGGGCCCCAGCUUACCCUGCCCCUGACCCGGUGCGGAUGGGACAAUGCCGUGUCAGACCCCACCGGGGCCUUGCUCCCGGCCUGAGCCCGCCCGGGCCCUUCUGACACUGACCACGCACGGAAAGCUGCUGCCGCUGGCCAGUCUCUACUUGGUGCAGGGCCUGCCCUAUGGGCUGCAGUCCAGCCUGCUGCCUAUCCUGCUGCGGGCCCGCGGCCUCUCCCUGACGCGCGUGGGUCUAGCCAAAGGUCUGUAUGCACCAUGGCUGUUCAAGCUGGCGUGGGCCCCACUGGUGGACAGACGGGGCUCCCCGCGGACCUGGCUGACGCUCAGCACAGCGGCUCUAGGCCUAGUAUGUGGGCUGCUGGCCGCCCUGCCUCCCAACCAAGGUAGCCAGGACGCGCUGCCCGCCACCGUGAUGGGGCUGCUGCUGUUGCUGAACCUUGGUGCGGCUGUGCAGGACGUAGCCCUGGAUACACUGGCCGUCCAGCUCCUGGAUCCAGCCGAGCUGGGACCCGGCAACACCGUGCAGGUGGUCGCUUACAAGCUGGGGGCAGCGCUGGCUGGGGGCGGACUGCUUGUUCUCUCGCCCACUCUAUCUUGGCCACUGGUCUUUGUGCUCCUGGCUGCCACCUACUGGCUGGCCGCGGCACUGGCCUGGACUGCACCAGCGCUGCACCAGCUACCAUGGCCUCAGCCCUCAGAGCACACCCCACACCUGCAGGAUUUGCUGGCUGCUCCUGAGACCCUGUGGACAGCAGGCUUUGUGCUCACCUACAAGCUGGGUGAGUUAAGUCUCAAGCCAGGCAACAACAGGACCGGGGCCUCAGGGACAGCUCCAGGUGGGUCCCCGAGGCCUCUGGGACCCACUUAAGGGGCCGCCCUCUUUCUUGGGCUGGCUCCAGAACCCAGCCUGGAUCGCAGCACCCCGGGUUCUGCAACCUGGCCUUGCCUCUUGUCCUCCCUCGGCUGCAGCCCAAGUCCUAGCCCCUUGAGUUGCUCUGGUGUUGUUGUCUGCUGACCCUGGGCUCCACCAAAUGCCCAGUGCAUUUCUCUCCCAGCACCUGUGGCCCAGGAUAAUGGGGGCAGGGCAGGGGCCCAGGUGGGGAGAAGUAGGGGCAGGCAUGGGGAUUGCUGCUUCUUCUGCAGGUGAGCAGGGCGCUGGCAGCCUAUUUCCGCUCCUCCUACUGGACCAUGGUGCUUCUGCCCCAGAGCUGGGACUCUGGAACGGCUUGGGUGCUGUGGCCUGCUCUAUCACUGGAUCCUCCUUGGGUGGAGCCCUACUGGUCAGGCAUUGGUAAGCCCUUCUCAGCCUGCCCUACCCCCUCCUCACCCUUGGCCCUGUCCUAGAUCCUCUGACCUAUAACCUCCCCACUCCCACCCCAACCCCAGGGAGCCACUCCUUCUGUUGAGGUCAGUGCUGCAGCUCCGCCUUGGGGGCUUGGCCUGCCAGACUGCUCUGCUCUUCUACCUGGACACUCCAGGGGUCAGUGUGGGCCCUGGCACACUCCUAAGAGGUGAGGGGCUGGCUUUGGGGGUGGAGGGUCCGGGAGUUUGGGGCCCUGCUGACCUCUCUUCUCUCAGGAGCAGCCUUGCUGAGCCUGUGUCUGCAGCACUUCCUGGGGGGCCUGGUCACCACUGCCACCUUCACUGUGAUGAUGCAUUGCAGCCAGCUGGCACCCAGGGCCCUUCAGGUGAGGGGAUGUGGCAGGGACACCCAGGAGCUGGGAAGGCCUGAGGCUCUGACCAUACACCCCAUCCCCAGGCAACGCACUAUAGCCUCCUGGCCACUCUGGAGCUGCUGGGCAAGUUGCUGAUGGGUGCCCUGGCUGGAAUGCUGGCUGAUGGUCUGGGCCCACAUCCCUGCUUCACCGUCUUUCUUGUACUCUCAGCACUGCCCCUUUUGGACCUUAGCCUGGCACCCAGCACCCUGGCCUGAACUGGGCGGGAGGACUGUCAAUAAAGCCAAGUGUGCCUUUAGCCUGAAUGUGUCUGCAGAAUGUGAGGCACAGCUGUCCUCAGCCUAAGGGCCGCCUUGCUGGAAAGGAGGGCCCAUGAAAACAAC